GACCACUUUCAAACGCUCCGCGGAUCUCGUGUUUCCUUAUCGCGUCGUUUCAACUCCAUUUCUCACCUCACUGCGCUCCUUCGGCUCUUCUCCCAUUCCUUCGCUUCUAUCUCUUAGAAGAAAAGAGAGAAUGCAGCGCCACGGUGAUCCCAACCCCUUCGACGAAGACGCAGUCAGUCCCUUCUCGAAUGGAGCAGGAUCUGGCAAAAAGUCGAAGUUCCCUUCGCUGUCGUCUGUUACUCUGGGUUUCGGAAAUAAGCACGAUGCGGUUGUUGAUGUUCCACUGGAGACGACAAACGAUUCCAGAAAGAAGGCACAAGAACUUGCAGCAUGGGAAGCAGAACUGAAAAGGAGAGAGACGGAAAUUAAACGAAGGGAAGAUGCUUUGUCGAAUGCUGGUGUUACUACAGAAGAUAAGAAUUGGCCACCAGUGUUCCCAAUCAUUCACCAUGAUAUUGCUAAGGAGAUACCAAUUCAUGCUCAGAGGUUGCAGUAUUUAGCAUUUGCAAGCUGGCUAGGAAUUGUUCUGUGUCUUUCUUGGAAUAUCCUUGCUGUGACUGUAUGUUGGAUUAAAGGCUGUGGGGUUAAAGUCUUUUUCCUUGCAAUAAUCUAUGCUUUUCUUGGAUGUCCUCUUUCGUAUCUAUUGUGGUACAGGCCUCUAUAUCGUGCAAUGAGGACUGAGAGUGCAGUGAGAUUUGGUUGGUUCUUCCUCUUGUACCUGAUCCAUAUUGGCUUUUGCAUCAUUGCUGCUAUUGCUCCUCCAAUUGUUUUUGAUGGGAAGUCAUUGACGGGUAUACUGGCUGCAAUUGACACAUUUUCAGAUCACAUGGUUGUUGGGAUCUUUUACUUGAUUGGUUUUGGCUUAUUUUGUUUGGAAACACUUUUAAGCCUCUGGGUGCUUCAGAAAAUUUACAUGUACUUUAGAGGUCAUAAAUGAAGAAAUUGCAUGCAGUGAAGCCCAAAAUGUUUUGAUCUAGCGUCCUGCUUAAGCUGCUCUUCUUUUAAAUUUAUUUCUUUUAGCUUCAUUUGUUUCACGAUGAUGUGACCGUCUGUUGGCUUGAAGAUCAUCAGAUUACCAUUCUGUUGGAGGAAUCAACAACUUUGGCCUAUUGUUGGGAUUUUAGGAAUGAAAUCAUCCCUCAAAUGCUUUCAAGAGUCAUUGGUGGAAUAAUGUGAUGCUUUAAGAUUGGUUGGUUGUACCUGAUGAUUCCUUUAGUUGAUCUGUUAAAUGAUCUUAUGUCUGAUAUCCCAAGUAACUAUUGUCCAAUACCAUAUUGAUAGCCAAUUUGGGUUUUAAGCAUUGAAGUUGGUUGGUUAAUAUUACCAAACAUGCUGUUAUUUUGAUUAUAUGUUGGUUUUGUUUACAAACUUUGGGGUCAUCAAAUCAUAAAAAAUAUGUUCCUUGUGAGAAUGUCCUUGCCAUAGAACAAUACCGUAC